UACGAAGGGGGCUAGCGUUGCUCGGAAUCACUGGGCGUAAAGGGUGCGUAGGCGGGUCUUUAAGUCAGGGGUGAAAUCCUGGAGCUCAACUCCAGAACUGCCUUUGAUACUGAGGAUCUUGAGUUCGGGAGAGGUGAGUGGAACUGCGAGUGUAGAGGUGAAAUUCGUAGAUAUUCGCAAGAACACCAGUGGCGAAGGCGGCUCACUGGCCCGUUACCGACGCUCAGGCGCGACAGCGUGGGGAGCAAACAGG
rnacentral:rRNA from 1 species